GGUGAGUACAGAAAAAAAAAAUGUAGGAAAAUUACAAUCUAAAAAUAGAUAAGAAAUGCAACGUAUCAAACUCAGUCAGUCAAAACUUACAAUUUGUGUUAUAUUUUUUUAGAAACCACCGCCGUUCCGACAUUGUAUAGGUGUGAGUGUAUGUACCUGCUGCAUAAUUUUCGGGAAAAAAAUAAAAUAUUUUACAGUUUACAAUAUUACGAGAUCUAAUGACGCAAACAAUAACUGCAUACCAAUUGCGUAUAUUUUUAACAAUGUCUCGUUUCACUCGAUUCGGCAAUGAAAAUAAAUAAUAUGAAAUCCGCUCCCAGGUAUUGCGUCAACUGAUAAAAUCAUUUCAAAUAUUGCUUUUAUUGAGUACUGGAGGAAAUCAAAAGAGAAUAGUUAACUAUAAAUGGACGUCUUUCCGAUCAAAAUUCUUUCUGGCGGAAUAUGACACUGCAAGAAAUAUUAAUUUAAAUAUCUGCAGUUAUGUACUUGUAAUCGGUAAUACUUAAAGCCAAAUUAAAUGUGAACAAGAAACAGAAGGCCAGAUAACACGGACAAAUGCGAAUAUGACCAGAGGAAAAACCGUGUAGGUACACGUGUAACAAGCAAGCCUACUAGAAACAAGUUAGAAUUUCUGAAUAAAUAACAAAAUUUGAAUGUUUUUAAAACGAAUCCUAAUCAAAAGAAAAAGUAACUAGGUGUAGUGUUGUUUUUCAGUUUUCGGCAGGUUUUUUUUUCAAUUGUAUCAAUAUUCUAAAUCUGAUAACAAUGUUAUGUUGUAAUUUUAUCUGUAAUAUUUAGAUUAUUAUUUGUGUAUCAUACAUUAUAUGUACACACCUAAUAGUG